CCUACGGGAGGCAGCAGUGAGGAAUAUUGGUCAAUGGACGCAAGUCUGAACCAGCCAUGCCGCGUGCAGGAAGACGGCUCUAUGAGUUGUAAACUGCUUUUGUACGAGGGUAAACGCAGAUACGCGUAUCUGUCUGCAAGUAUCGUACGAAUAAGGAUCGGCUAACUCCGUGCCAGCAGCCGCGGUAAUACGGAGGAUUCAAGCGUUAUCCGGAUUUAUUGGGUUUAAAGGGUGCGUAGGCGGUCGGAUAAGUUAGAGGUGAAAUCCCGAGGCUCAACUUCGGAAUUGCCUCUGAUACUGUUCGGCUAGAGAGUAGUGGCGGUAGGCGGAAUGUAUGGUGUAGCGGUGAAAUGCUUAGAGAUCAUACAGAACACCGAUUGCGAAGGCAGCUUACCAAGCUACUUCUGACGUUGAGGCACGAAAGCGUGGGGAGCAAACAGGAUUAGAUACCCCAGUAGUC
rnacentral:rRNA from 1 species